GUAGUCAUAUGCUUGUCUCAAAGAUUAAGCCAUGCAUGUCUAAGCACAAACCUUAACACGGUGAAGCUGCGAAUGGCUCAUUAGGCCACUCAUGAUUUAUUAGAUCGAGAAAACCUAUUUGGACAACUGUGGUAAUUCUAGAGCUAAUACAUGCAAUCAAGCUCCGACCCUUCUGGGAAAGAGCGCGUUUAUUAGAUCAAAACCAAUCGGGUCUUCGGAUCCGUACGUUUGGUGACUCUGGACAACUUUGAGCUGAUCGCAUGGCCUCGAGCCGGCGACGUAUCUUUCAAGUGUGUGCCCUAUCAACUGUCGAUGGUAAGUGAUAUGCUUACCAUGGUGGCAACGGGUAACGGGGAAU
rnacentral:rRNA from 1 species